UACAGAGGGUGCAAGCGUUGCUCGGAAUCAUUGGGCGUAAAGGGUAGGUAGGUGGUCUCGUUUGUCUGGGGUGAAAGCCUUGAGCUUAACUCAAGAAGUGCCUUAGAAACGGCGAGACUGGAGUCUUGGAGAGGGUCGUGGAAUUCCCGGUGUAGCGGUGAAAUGCGCAGAUAUCAGGAAGAACACCCGUGGCGAAGGCGGUUCUCUGGGACGGUACUGACGCUGAGACGCGAAAGCGUGGGGAGCGAACAGG
rnacentral:rRNA from 1 species